AUACCUUUCUCGGCCUUUUGGCUAAGAUCAAGUGUAGUAUCUGUUCUUAUCAGUUUAAUAUCUGAUAUGUGGGCCAUUGGUCCACACGAUAUUAAAUUUAUUUCUUGAAGGGGAGGGCCCAACACAGUAGCUUGCUACUGGGGUCUUCAAGCGUCGCCCGUGUGUUGCACUAUAACAUGGGCCUGGCGCACCCUAC
rfam:Glycine soja cultivar W05 scaffold3901_13, whole genome shotgun sequence.